UACGUAGGGGGCAAGCGUUGUCCGGAAUCAUUGGGCGUAAAGCGCGUGUAGGCGGCUUUGCAAGUCGGGUGUGAAAGCCCUCGGCUCAACCGAGGAAGUGCGCCCGAAACUGCAGAGCUUGAGUGCCGGAGAGGAUGGCGGAAUUCCCCAAGUAGAGGUGAAAUUCGUAGAUAUGGGGAGGAACACCGGUGGCGAAGGCGGCCAUCUGGACGGUCACUGACGCUGAGACGCGAGAGCGUGGGUAGCAAACAGG
rnacentral:rRNA from 1 species